rnacentral:rRNA from 1 species
CCUACGGGUGGCUGCAGUGGGGAAUAUUGCACAAUGGGCGCAAGCCUGAUGCAGCCAUGCCGCGUGUGUGAAGAAGGCCUUCGGGUUGUAAAGCACUUUCAGCGGGGAGGAAGGCGGUGAGGUUAAUAACCUCAUCGAUUGACGUUACCCGCAGAAGAAGCACCGGCUAACUCCGUGCCAGCAGCCGCGGUAAUACGGAGGGUGCAAGCGUUAAUCGGAAUUACUGGGCGUAAAGCGCACGCAGGCGGUCUGUCAAGUCGGAAGUGAAAUCCCCGGGCUCAACCUGGGAACUGCAUUCGAAACUGGCAGGCUAGAGUCUUGUAGAGGGGGGUAGAAUUCCAGGUGUAGCGGUGAAAUGCGUAGAGAUCUGGAGGAAUACCGGUGGCGAAGGCGGCCCCCUGGACAAAGACUGACGCUCAGGUGCGAAAGCGUGGGGAGCAAACAGGAUUAGAUACCCUAGUAGUC